rnacentral:tRNA from 1 species
CCCCUUCGUCUAGUCAGGUCCAGGACACCAGGUUCUCAUCCUGGUAACAGGGGUUCGAAUCCCCUAGGGGUCAUUCCA